rnacentral:misc_RNA from 1 species
UCCGGCUUAUCACUGGCAGUCCCACUAGAGUGCCCAACUAAAUGCUGGCAACUAAUGGCGAGGGUUGCGCUCGUUGCGGGACUUAACCCAACAUCUCACGACACGAGCUGACGACAACCAUGCAGCACCUCGGCUGGUUCCUGACUUUACAGGUCAUCCCGACUUUCAUCAGUUUUACUUCCAGUCGUUCGAGCCCAGGUAAGGUUUUUCGUGUUGCAUCGAAUUAAUCCACAUAAUCCACCGCUUGUGCGGGUCCCCGUCAAUUCCUUUGAGUUUUAACCUUGCGGCCGUACUCCCCAGGCGGUCAACUUCACGCGUUAGCUUCGUUACCAAGGAAUUACUUCCCCGACAACCAGUUGACAUCGUUUAGGGCGUGGACUAC